AUGAGCAGACACUCGGUGGCAGUCACUUCGCAGACCAGACUUCUCUCGUUCACGCGUCUUGCUCCGCUUCCUCAGAAACCCUGUCUGACAAACCCGAUAUGGCUGAGAUCGAGAAAUUCAAUAAGUCGAAAUUGAAGAAGACAGAAACCCAAGAGAAAAAUCCUCUGCCUUCAAAAGAAACGAUUGAACAGGAGAAGCAAGCAGGCGAAUCUUAAUGAGGCGUGCACCGCCAAUAUGCACUCUACAUUCCACAAGCAUUGCCUCC